rnacentral:rRNA from 2 species
UAGUGACCUGCGGAGGAUCAUUA